GUAAAAAGUGAUUCUGAGUUUUAGUCAGGUGGACAAGUAAAAUCAUGUCCUGUCAACUUGCAGUGUCUCACUACGCAGAAGGAUGAGUUAUAACAACUUCAACUUGAAGGGAAAUUGAAAACUUAAAAUAAGGUGUUCAUAUAACAACAAAACAUAGGUUCUUUCAAUUUUUUGCCUCAUGCGCAUGUGCCAUAAUCUCUACGUCAUAAUGACGUACUACUUUAACGAAUUUGAACAAGAGGCGCCAUCGCCAUUUUCUGCACGAGAGGACGAGAUCACUACAGGAGUUGCUGAUGGGAGAAAAAAGACGACGAAGGAGCUCUUAUUUGAACGACUACAGAUGGAUUUUUAUAACAACAAACCAAAGGAUGAGGACUGCAGCAUUGCUUGGGCUGCCGUGAUACAUGCGAGAGACUCCUUCUAAAUUCAUGAAGAUAUGCUAGCCCAGUGACCGUGAAAAGGAUGUGAUCAAGGGCGUGGUGAUCGGAGUCCUAGUGGUUGUGGAAAAUGUGAUGGAGCCUCUCCAGAAUUCUACAAUGACGUUGCCCUGGUGAUUGAGGAAGAAGUGGUGAUGCGUCACCUGAGUGACAUACCUAAUGCUUUUCUGAACCUGAUGGGCCUGGUGUACGCAUUAAACAUUGACUUUCCAAAGGAAUAUAAAAUUCACUUUUGAAGUGAUACAACGCCUGUUCAUUGGAGUGGGAUCACACUCUUGCACCGCAAGUUGCUGAGAUAAGAAACUCUUUUCCUUUCUUUGCUACUAUAAGCACUUACACUGUUACACUGUUUUAAAGUUUAAGACCAUUGUUAUUUUAGAUAUUAUUGUUUUAAAGGGAUACUCCAUCGUUUUGUCAUAUUAAACUGUUAUUACCUUAAAGCAAUAGUUCACUUUGAAAUUAAGUUUUGAUAUGUUUUAGCUUACCUCAAGGGCAUCCAAGAUGUAGGUGUCUUUGUUUCCGUGGUAGUUUCACUUUUGAUGUUUUUAGGUCAAACCGUUCUUGUCUGUCAGUCAUAUAAUGCAGGUCUAUGAGGUAAACAUUACCUCAAAGAGCAUUCACAGAGAAGUCCAAAUUAAGCAACUGUCCAUCGUAAGUACACAUUGAUGGCCUUAGACACGAAACGAGCGGUUUGUGUGAGAAAACGAACACUAUUUAUAUUGUUUUUGCCCCUUGUACACAACCACAUCUGUGCUUAGUCUGCGCAUGCGCCGGAAGUGAUCUCUCGCACGUGUACGUCACUCAUUGUUUACACAGAACAGAGAUUUUAGGUAAGACAGUUAAUAGAAAUAGUACUGAUUUGCGCUUAUCCGGGAUGUUUAAACCGACGUGAAAGAAAACAAUUACGUAUGCUCGCGCAAACUCAUCCAGGAGAUCACUUCCGGCGCAUGUGCAGACUAAGCACAGACGUGGUUGUGUAC